GAUGAACGCUGGCGGCGUGCCUAAUACAUGCAAGUCGAGCGAACAGACGAGGAGCUUGCUCCUCUGACGUUAGCGGCGGACGGGUGAGUAGCACGUGGAUAACCUACCUAUAAGACUGGGAUAACUUCGGGAAACCGGAGCUAAUACCGGAUAAUAUAUUGAACCGCAUGGUUCAAUAGUGAAAGACGGUUUUGCUGUCACUUAUAGAUGGAUCCGCGCCGCAUUAGCUAGUUGGUAAGGUAACGGCUUACCAAGGCAACGAUGCGUAGCCGACAUGAGAGGGUGAUCGGCCACACUGGAACUGAGACACGGUCCAGACUCCUACGGGAGGCAGCAGUAGGGAAUCUUCCGCAAUGGUCGAAAGCGUGACGGAGCAACGCCGCGUGAGUGAUGAAGGUCUUCGGAUCGUAAAACUCUGUUAUUAGGGAAGAACAAAUGUGUAAGUAACUAUGCACGUCUUGACGGUACCUAAUCAGAAAGCCACGGCUAACUACGUG
rnacentral:rRNA from 1 species